rnacentral:rRNA from 1 species
CACCGGAGGGGCCCCGGGGCCUUNGGCCCCGGGCUCUUCCCGGACGGGGGGGCUCGCGUCCCGUGCCUCGCCCGGCGAUGCCCGGGCGCAGCCUUCCCGGCCGAACGAACGAACCCCGGCGCGGAACCGCGCCAAGGAACAUCCAACGAACCAGCGCUCCCCCGCCGCCCCGGAGACGGUGCGCGGCGGGGGCGCGAGUCGUACCCCACGAAAUGUCAAAACGACUCUCGGCAACGGAUAUCUCGGCUCUCGCAUCGAUGAAGAACGUAGCGAAAUGCGAUACUUGGUGUGAAUUGCAGAAUCCCGUGAACCAUCGAGUCUUUGAACGCAAGUUGCGCCCGAAGCCUUUAGGCCGAGGGCACGUCUGCCUGGGCGUCACACGACGUUGCCCCCCCAACCCCCGGCACCGGGAGGCGAGGGGGCGGACGAUGGCCUCCCGCGAGCCACGGCGCGCGGUUGGCCGAAAUGCGAGUCCUCGGCGACGAGCGCCGCAACAACCGGUGGUUUUCCCAAACCCUCGUGCCCUGUUGCGCGCGCGGACGGACGCCGCGGCCCGAACGACCCCGGUGCGGCGCGGACGCGCCGCCUUCCAACGCGAC